ACUCCUCGACGACAACACAGUCCUCAACAAUGCUACCGCGCAUUGUCGUACCACCAGAUACCGCCGGUUGAACCGUAUUUGUUUUAGUACUAAUCACGUUUUCAACAAGGGUGAGCGUUGAUGGUGGUGGAUAUGGUAAAAUUUUUCAACCCCAAUAAUGUAACGCAUCAGAGUCAACGAAAAUUCGCAAUGAUUUUGUUUGCAUUAACCAAAGUGAGUGCUUAGAUGUGAUUGAUUGACGUGUGAUGGAUAAAUAACAACACCAAAGGACUCAACUCAUUCGUUGAUUGCAAGUAACAGAGAGAGGUGUAUAAAAAAGGAUGUGACGCGCAACAAUAAUGAUACAGGGUGAAAAAUAAUAAUUACAAGACGUUGUCUUUGUGUAUUAACAGUAGACAACCGACCUGCCACAGUCGCCGUUGAUGGUGUUCCCGGUUCCCUCCAAAUAGCAUUGAAGACUCUUUCGUUGACAGCGAGCUCCAGACGCUCUGGCGGCAGCAAACGCUCGUUCCACAAUUCCGACCUGGGAACUCGCAUACGGCCACCAAGUUCUUCCUUCAGGGUGUUUUUAACUCAAUACCUCUUCUUCUUUCUUUCUUCCCUCUCUCUUUUUUUAUUCUUGCUCUAUUUUUUGUUUAAUAACUAUUAUUUAUUUUUAGGCGAAGAUAAAAGUAUCCACCACUGGGGUAUUAUGACAGUCGAACUGAUAAACACUUGAAUGAUCCAGCAUCUAUGUUGUUUAUUCCAAAAAGUUGUUCACAGAUUCCCGUCAGAAGAUGUGGUUGAUCAGAUGAUUCUUCUUCCUGUAUUCCACGACGUACAACUUUGUUAACUUAUGUGUGCUACGUAUGAAAUUCAACGUGCAGGAGUCAGGGGUGUUUUCAGGUGAGGAGUAACUACGCGCUUUUUCUUUAUAAUUUUUAAAUUUGAAAAAAAAUAUUUAAAAAAAAAAACACGUGUCCUGUGGCUCGUGAUUUAGCACCUUGUGAACAAGUGGUUGAA